rnacentral:rRNA from 1 species
UACGGAGGGUGCAAGCGUUACCCGGAUCACUGGGCGUAAAGGGCGUGUAGGCGGGUGAUUAAGUCUGGCUUUAAAGACCGAGGCUCAACCUCGGGAAUGGGCUGGAUACUGAUCGUCUAGACCUCUGGAGAGGUACUCGGAAUUUCUGGUGUAGCGGUGGAAUGCGUAGAUACCAGAAGGAACACCGAUGGCGAAGGCAGAGUACUGGACAGAAGGUGACGCUGAGGCGCGAAAGUGUGGGGAGCAAACCGG